GACGAACGCUGGCGGCGUGCCUAAUACAUGCAAGUUGAGCGCUGAAGGUUGGUACUUGUACCAACUGGAUGAGCAGCGAACGGGUGAGUAACGCGUGGGGAAUCUGCCUUUGAGCGGGGGACAACAUUUGGAAACGAAUGCUAAUACCGCAUAAAAACUUUAAACACAAGUUUUAAGUUUGAAAGAUGCAAUUGCAUCACUCAAAGAUGAUCCCGCGUUGUAUUAGCUAGUUGGUGAGGUAAAGGCUCACCAAGGCGAUGAUACAUAGCCGACCUGAGAGGGUGAUCGGACAAAUUGGGACUGAGACACGGCCCAAACUCCUACGGGAGGCAGCAGUAGGGAAUCUUCGGCAAUGGACGAAAGUCUGACCGAGCAACGCCGAGUGAGUGAAGAAGGUUUUCGGAUCGUAAAACUCUGUUGGUAGAGAAGAACGUUGGUGAGAGUGGAAAGCUCAUCAAGUGACGGUAACUACCCAGAAAGGGACGGCUAACUACGUG
rnacentral:rRNA from 1 species